rnacentral:sRNA from 1 species
GAGUGAAGCACAAGGGAUUGAUUGAAAUACCCAAUCUUUCUGAGGAAAAUGAAGUAGAUGACACUGAGGUCAACGUGAGUAAAAAGAAAGGAGAUGGGGUUGUACUGAAGGAUCUUAUGAAAACUGCAGGCACUGCCAAGGUCAGGGAGGCCCUUGGAGAUUACCUGAAGGCACUUAAGACGGAAUUUACAACGGGAAUGAUUUUACCAACGAAAGCUAUGGCAACCCAGGAAUUGACUGUCAAAAGAAAACUGAGUGGGAAUACCCUGCAGGUUCAGGCCUCAUCUCCAGUGGCACUGGGUGUAAGGAUUCCCACGGUGGCUCUUCACAUGAUGGAACUGUUUGACACAACUGUAGAGCAGCUGUAUAGCAUCUUCACUGUAAAGGAUUUAACAAAGAAGAAGAUCAUCAUGAAAUGGAGAUGUAGGAACUGGCCAGAAGAACACUAUGCCAUGGUUGCACUGAAUUUUGUGCCUACUCUAGGGCAAACAGAAUUACAAUUGAAGGAGUUCCUAUCUGUAAAGAAGAGAACAUGAAAUUCUGUUGGCAGAAGCAGCAUUUUGAAGAAAUAAAAGGUUUACUGCAGCUGACCCCCCUAAAUGGUUGAAUUAAAAUUUAUUAUAAGGCA